GGAAGCCCCCGGGGCCCCGGCGGCCGCGGGGUCUCGGGGCGACCCGCCCGCGCCGAGCUGCCCGAGGGCGCCUUUGUGUCCGGAUCUGGGUGAACGAAACCGCCACCGUUUUGCUCUCGCGUCCGAGUUCCCUUUUCAGAUUCCCCCCAACCCCACCCCCACCCCGCUCCCCGCCCGGGAGCCGGGAGGCCGCAGCCGAGGCUUCAUCACUAAAAAGUAGACGCGGGCCCCGCCACCCCUACCCCGCCUCCGGAAGUGCCGGUCCCCGCCACCCACCCCAGGCAGAAAACAAUCCUUCUAUGAAGAACCUAAUGCCAGGCUUGUGGUACUCAGCGCCCUGCGGUGACUCCCGGGCUAGCUUGCUUGAAGCCUGUGAAGGACUCUCACCGGUUCUUCAUCCCCCUCCUGAGCAGAG
rnacentral:lncRNA from 1 species